rnacentral:rRNA from 1 species
GACGAACGCUGGCGGCGUGCUUAACACAUGCAAGUCGAGCGAUGAAGCUCCUUCGGGAGUGGAUUAGCCGCGGACGGGUGAGUAACACGUGGGUAACCUGCCUCAUAGAGGGGAAUAGCCUUCCGAAAGGGAGAUUAAUACCGCAUAACAUUGCAGUUCCGCAUGGGACCGUAAUUAAAGGAGCAAUCCCCGAUGAGAUGGACCCGCGGCGCAUUAGCUAGUUGGUGAGGUAACGGCUCACCAAGGCGACGAGGCGUAGCCGACCUGAGAGGGUGAGCGGCGACAUUGGGACUGAGACACGGCCCAGACUCCUACGGGAGGCAGCAGUGGGGAAUAUUGCACAAUGGGGGAAACCCUGAUGCAGCAACGCCGCGUGAGUGAUGACGGUCUUCGGAUUGUAAAACUCUGUCUUUGGGGACGAUAAUGACGGUACCCAAGGAGGAAGCCACGGCUAACUACGUGCCAGCAGCCGCGGUAAUAC